rnacentral:tRNA from 1 species
CGGUCGUCUGGGGAACGUCGGUGCUCUUCGGGAGUUUGUCGCUCUCCGGAGCCUCGGCGACGACCGUCUUCGGUUCGGUGCCGGGAUCGGCUGGC